UACGGGAGGCAGCAGCUAAGAAUAUUCCGCAAUGGAGGGAACUCUGACGGAGCGACGCCGCGUGAAUGAAGAAGGCCGUGAGGUUGUAAAGUUCUUUUCUGGUGGAGGAAUAAGUAUUGUAGGGAAUGACAGUAUGAUGACGUUAAACCAGGAAUAAGCCCCGGCUAACUACGUGCCAGCAGCCGCGGUAAU
rnacentral:rRNA from 1 species